CGCCAACAGAUUCCGUAGCGCUUUACAAAAUUAUUAGAGGGGGGAUUUAACUAUAACUUAAAACCAGGAGAUUAGCUCUAUAUUGAUGAAGAUGUGAAACUUCCAAAUUUGAAACGCUUCUUUUUGAUAUCCAGACUGUGAAAAUAUAGCAGUCUAUUACUAAGGGAAUACAAAGACUCCGUGUGCUGAAAUAAAAAGACACAUUCUGUGCUAACAUGUAGAUUGUAAAA